rnacentral:lncRNA from 7 species
AAGACCCGCUACAACAGAAACAGAGAGAGGACAUGACUAGCGGAGGUGCCGCCAGGUCGUGUGGGAGCUUCGGGGGUCAUUGAUACGACGUGGGAGGCCUUGACCCUAUGGCGAUUUCACGCCGAAGUCGCCACAACCUCGUGGAUCCGUAACAUGGUGUCGAGGGCUUUCCUACUGAGAUAAUCCGAGAUUAUACCAAAGUAGGAGGACUGGCGGAA